rnacentral:rRNA from 1 species
GACGAACGCUGGCGGCGUGCCUAAUACAUGCAAGUCGAGCGCAGGAAGCUGACGGAACUCUUCGGAGGGAAGGCAGUGGAAUGAGCGGCGGACGGGUGAGUAACACGUAAGGAACCUGCCUCAAGGAUUGGGAUAACUCCGAGAAAUCGGAGCUAAUACCGGAUAGUUCAACGGACCGCAUGGUCCGCUGAUGAAAGGCGCUCCGGCGUCACCUUGAGAUGGCCUUGCGGUGCAUUAGCUAGUUGGUGGGGUAACGGCCCACCAAGGCGACGAUGCAUAGCCGACCUGAGAGGGUGAUCGGCCACACUGGGACUGAGACACGGCCCAGACUCCUACGGGAGGCAGCAGUAGGGAAUCUUCCACAAUGGACGAAAGUCUGAUGGAGCAACGCCGCGUGAGUGAUGAAGGUUUUCGGAUCGUAAAACUCUGUUGUAAGGGAAGAACACGUACGAGAGGAAAUGCUCGUACCUUGACGGUACCUUACGAGAAAGCCACGGCUAACUACGUGCCAGCAGCCGCCGUAA